AUUGAACGCUGGCGGCAUGCUUUACACAUGCAAGUCGAACGGUAACAGGCCGCAAGGUGCUGACGAGUGGCGAACGGGUGAGUAAUGCAUCGGAACGUGCCCAGUCGUGGGGGAUAACGCAGCGAAAGCUGUGCUAAUACCGCAUACGAUCUAUGGAUGAAAGCGGGGGACCGUAAGGCCUCGCGCGAUUGGAGCGGCCGAUGUCAGAUUAGGUAGUUGGUGGGGUAAAGGCCCACCAAGCCAACGAUCUGUAGCUGGUCUGAGAGGACGACCAGCCACACUGGGACUGAGACACGGCCCAGACUCCUACGGGAGGCAGCAGUGGGGAAUUUUGGACAAUGGGCGCAAGCCUGGUCCAGCAAUGCCGCGUGCAGGAAGAAGGCCUUCGGGUUGUAAACUGCUUUUGUGCGGAACGAAACGGUCUGGGUUAAUACUCUGGGCUAAUGACGGUACCGUAAGAAUAAGCACCGGCUAACUACGUGCCAGCCGCCGCCGUAA
rnacentral:rRNA from 1 species